rnacentral:siRNA from 1 species
AGGAUGGGAAGCCUAGGCGCGAUU